UACAGAGGGUGCAAGCGUUAAUCGGAAUUACUGGGCGUAAAGCGUGCGUAGACGGUUAUGUAAGUCGGGUGUGAAAGCCCCGGGCUCAACCUGGGAAUUGCAUUCGAGACUGCAUAGCUAGGGUGCGGAAGAGGGAAGCGGAAUUUCCGGUGUAGCGGUGAAAUGCGUAGAUAUCGGGAGGAACACCAGUGGCGAAGGCGGCGAUCUGGGUGGUUACUGACGCUGAGGUGCGAAAGCGUGGGGAGCAAACAGG
rnacentral:rRNA from 1 species